rfam:Salmo salar isolate Sally breed double haploid chromosome ssa16, whole genome shotgun sequence.
UGGCUCAGUUGGUAGAGCACGGUGUUUGCAACGCCAGCAUGGUGUGUGCAACGCCAGGGUUGUGGGUUCGAUUCCCAC